AUUGAACGCUGGCGGCACGCCUAACACAUGCAAGUCGAGCGGUAACAUGAGUAGUAGCAAUACUACUUGAUGACGAGAGGCGGACGGGUGAGGAACACGGAGGGACCUGCCUUAGAGAGGGGGACAAACAAGGGAAACAUUGGCUAAUCUCGCAGAAACUCGAGAGAGAAAAGCUGCCCGCAAGGGAGGCGCAUUAAGAGGGGGCUGCGUCCGAUUAGCUAGUUGGUUAGGUAAAGGCGCACCAAGGCGAUGAUAGGUAACUGGGCUGAGAGGACAACCAGUCACACUGGGACUGAGACACGGCCCAGACUCCUACGGGAGGCAGCAGUGGGGAAUCUUGGACAAUGGGGGCAACCCUGAUCCAGCGAUGCCGCGUGUGUGAAGAAGGCCUUCGGAUUGUAAAGCCCUUUAGGCUGGGAAGAAGGUUGGUAGUUUAAGAGAUAACCAACUUGACGGUACCGGCAGAAUAAGCACCGGCAAACUCUGUGCCAGCAGCCGCCGUAA
rnacentral:rRNA from 1 species